rnacentral:rRNA from 1 species
AAAAACAUAACCUUUAGCCAAACAAAUAUUAAAGGCAACGCCUGCCCAGUGAAUAAUUAAACGGCCGCGGUACCCUAACCGUGCAAAGGUAGCGUAAUCAUUUGUCUACUAAUUAUAGACCUGUAUGAAAGGCAAAAUGAGGAUUUAACUGUCUCUUAUAAUAAAUCAAUUAAACUGAUCUCCUAGUAAAAAAGCUAGAAUAAUAACAUAAGACCAGAAGACCCUGUGAAGCUUAAAUCAAACUAUUAAACCAUAUAAUAACUACUUUCGGUUGGGGCGACCUUGGAAAAAAAAAGAACUUCCAAGACCCAGCACAGCUGAUAAUUGAACCAAGUUACUCCAGGGAUAACAGCGCAAUCUUCUUCAAGAGCCCAUAUCAAAAAGAAGGUUUACGACCUCGAUGUUGGAUCAGGACAUCCUAAUGGUGCAGCCGCUAUUAAGGGUUCGUUUGUUCAACGAUUAACAGUCCUACGUGAUCUG